GUUUAUGUAGUUUAAAUAAAACAUUACAUUUUCACUGUAAAAAUAUUAAUAUUAAUCAUAAAAU
rnacentral:tRNA from 1 species